rnacentral:rRNA from 1 species
AUUCCCCUAGUAACUGCGAGUGAAGCGGGAAAAGCUCAAAUUUAAAAUCUGGCAGUCUCUGGCUGUCUGAGUUGUAAUCUAGAGAAGUAAUGCCCGUGCUGGACCGUGUAUAAGUCUCCUGGGAUGGGGCGUCAUAGAGGGUGAGAAUCCCGUCUUUGACACGGACUACCAGUGCAUUGUGGUAUGCUCUCAAAGAGUCGAGUUGUUUGGGAAUGCAGCUCAAAAUGGGUGGUAAAUUCCAUCUAAAGCUAAAUAUUGGCGAGAGACCGAUAGCRAACAAGUACCGUGAGGGAAAGAUGAAAAGAACUUUGGAAAGAGAGUUAAACAGUACGUGAAAUUGCUGAAAGGGAAACGCUUGAAGUCAGUCGCGUUGGCCGGGGAUCAGCCUUGCUUUUUUGCUUGGUGUACUUUCUGGUUGACGGGUCAGCAUCAAUUUUGACCGCUGGAAAAAGACCUGGGGAAUGUGGCAGCUUCGGCUGUGUUAUAGCCCCUAGUCGCAUACAGUGGUUGGGAUUGAGGAACUCAGCACGCCGCAAGGCCGGGUUUCGACCACGUUCGUGCUUAGGAUGCUGGCAUAAUGGCUUUAAGCGACCCGUCUUGAAACACGGACCAAGGAGUCUAACAUGCCUGCGAGUAUUUGGGUGGAAAACCCAAGUGCGUAAUGAAAGUGAAAGUUGAGAUCCCUGUCGUGGGGAGCAUCGACGCCCGGACCAGAACUUUUGGGACGGAUCCGCGGUGGAGCAUGUAUGUUGGGACCCGAAAGAUGGUGAACUAUGCCUGAAUAGGGUGAAGCCAGAGGAAACUCUG